rnacentral:rRNA from 1 species
GGGAAUCUUCGGCAAUGGGCGAAAGCCUGACCGAGCAACGCCGCGUGAAUGAAGAAGGCCUUCGGGUUGUAAAGCUCUGUCUUCAGGGACGAUAAUGACGGUACCUGAGGAGGAAGCCACGGCUAACUAAGUGCCAGCAGCCGCGGUAAUACGUAGGUGGCGAGCGUUGUCCGGAUUUACUGGGCGUAAAGGGAGCGUAGGCGGACUUUUAAGUGAGAUGUGAAAUACUCGGGCUCAACUUGAGUGCUGCAUUUCAAACUGGAAGUCUAGAGUGCAGGAGAGGAGAAUGGAAUUCCUAGUGUAGCGGUGAAAUGCGUAGAUAUUAGGAGGAACACCAGUUGCGAAGGCGGCUCUCUGGACUGUAACUGACACUGAGGCACGAAAGCGUGGGGAGCA